GUGCUUUCUUUUGCAGCACUUAUACUAAAAUGAGAAUGAUACAGAGAAUAUUAGUAUAACCCAGAGCAAGGAUGGCAUGCAAAUUCAUGAAGCACUCCAUAUUUUG